CUCCGCCGCUGCUCGGCCGCCAAGCGCCGCUCGGGGCUCUGCGUGCGUCCCCGGAGCGGAGCGGCGGUCCCGGGGACCCCCACCCGACCCGGCCCCUCCAUACUGGAGCCUCCCCCGCCCUAAGGCCGCUAUCCCGCGGUGCAGGCCCGUGGCCCGGCCCGGCCUUGUUGUGGUGCGGCCCGGCGGGCCCCGCUCUGCCGCCGGCCUGGCCGAGGCGUCCCGGGGUGCGGAUAUGGGGGGAUUUUGGGGCGCGGAGAUGGAGCGAUGGGUGUUAGGGGGCCUCGGGCUUCGGGUGGUCUUGUGUCAGCGGGUAUGGCUGCACCCUGCAAGUAUUACUAACAGUAAUAACAACAGUUAAGCAGAGGGGCCCCAGAUUUUGGUGGGGAAAGUGGCUCCCACACGAAUUGGGAACGGUGCUACCCCCAGGGCUACUGGCACUUUUGUAAAAGGCAGCUGUGGUGCCUUGGCCCAGUGCUGCUCAUGCAAGGAGACAGAAAUGGGGGAAAAAGAAAGUGGGGAAAGGGUCUCCUUUCAUAGACUGCAGAACGUUUGGAGGAAUGUUCUGUCAAAAGCGAUGUGCUUGGCUGGCAGUGUUUUCUGCUCCUUGUCCUAAAAGUUAAUCAGAUUUUCUUUUGUUUUUCAAGAAAACAGUCACUGUUGAUCCAUGAGAGAUGCAGCCUAGAGUGUUCCAGCUAUUAGAAAUUACACACCACAAGCAGCCCUAUGGCAACAAGGAGGAUGAAAGAGGCCGAGGAGGCAAGAGCAGAGAAAGAUGUUCACUGAUUCAUAAUCAACAGCAAGUGAGAUCUCAUAUAAGCAUUUUUUUAAAAGGUCAAAGUAUUUAUUGUUUAUCACAUGUGCAUUGGUAAGUUUUGUGGCUGGGGCUUGCCUCUAAUGGCCUUUAUUAUACAGUAUUUCAUAGAAGAUAGGCCACUAGAAUGGUUAAGGUACUGGAGCAUUUGAUAUAUGAGGAGAGACUGAAAGAGCUGGAACUGUUCAGGCUGAAGAAAAGGUGGCUCAGGAGGAUUUUACCUUAAAUACCUCAUGAGGGGAGUGAAGACAACAUUGCCAAUGUUACUCAUUGGGUGUUCAGUGUCAGAGUGAGAGGUGGUGGCACAAAUUGAGAUAUAAGAAGGAAAAAAAUACCUUGAAGUUGAUCAAACUGGUGAAUUCGCUCAUCUUUGGGGAUGCUCAGAACAGAACUGCACAAAGCCUCAAGCAACCUGCUGUAGCUUGAGACCCUGCUCUGAGCAGGAAUUGGACCAGAUGUUCUUCAGAGGUUCCUUCCAUUUUCAUGCCUCUAUGCUUUUGAAGCCUUUUUUUUUUUUCCCCAACAAAUUCAAAGUGCAUAGAAAAUUAUAAUGAACAGCAGGGCAUCCCACAAACUGUUUAGUUCUGAGCACAUACAAAUUAGUCAUUCAGCUGAGGAAUGGAAGUCCAGAAUAUGUGGCAAGUUACCCUCAAAUAUUCAGCAUAUCCAAACGUUAGGUCAUUGGAAGGAGAGAUGUCAAAAAAGCUAUGAUGUCACUGGGAGGCAUAUCGCCAGAUGUCUUGUGAACAUAUGAAUAUUAACUUUUUUUUCUGGUCAUUCUUGGUUAUUCAUCCUGUCAGCAUAUAACCAUUCCACCUCUAUCUUCUUUUUCCUUGCUGCUCAAGAGUCAGGUAACAGCAGCUUUUGGGUCAUUAAGGAGAGACUAUUUGUCCUCAUCUAUUCAUCACCUAAAUGUUAUCCCCAGCUACUAAUGUUUCUCAUGCCAGCCUGUAAGCCCGGCAUGAUCAGGAAUGGGGGAACUCCCAUUUCUUGAGCUGCCAGAAAGGAAGCCGUUUUCACAACUGAUACUCACAGCCAUUUCUUCUCUCACAUGUAAUGAGGGAGUCCAAGAGCAGGAACAUGCUUGAAAACUGUAGAUAAAAUAAGAGUGUUUGCACCACAUUAUAAAAACAUACAGUGAUGUAUUUGCACAGAUGUUUAUGUAACUUGCACUUUUUGGAGUGCAGUAGACAAAUGGUAAAAAAUACAUCAUAAACAAUAGGAUUUCAGACUUCAGUUAGAGGUGAGAUUGGGUUAGUUUUAAUACAGAGACAGAGGAUAGCUUCUAUGUUAGUUUGUAGCUCAGUUGUUUCAGAGCCUACAAACAGAGCCCUUACCUUUUGAUUCUCAUUUUACCUGUGGUCCAGUGUGUCUUUAGUUUUCCCUAAAACUUGUUUUAGUGUCUGUCACUCAGCAGUAGGUAACCUUGCUAUAUGUGACUUUGCUCUCACCAACUGAGCUUGUGGCUUUUGCUGAAAUAUCCUUUUGAAUUCUACUCAAACUCAGUUGUCACUGGGUUAAUUCCAAAGCUAUGUAGUAGUAAUUUCUUACUUGGAGACUUCAUUAAUACAUUGUUCAUUACGCUGUUUUGCUCAGGUUCCAUCUUAGUUUUCUCAAAAAGAGUAAAUGUGCAUAUUACCAGCUCUAUAUGUCAUGAAAAACUGGUGUGGCUGGGCAUUGCUACAGCUGUUAAUGCUUGCAUCCACGUCACUGACAAUUUGUGUGCAGACAAAUUCUAAAAAUGAGUAAAAAGCCAUUUUCAGUCUCAGUUCCUUCCUGUCUAUCUUGUGCCUUAUUUCCUGGUUAUCAACAACAUGCUUAACAAAUACAGAUGUCCAAGUAACACUACCCAAUUUCUGAAGCUCUAGCUCUACCAUUGUUAACUGCUCUAAGUUACAGAAAUGAGACACUAUGUUUGGGGUAGUCAACUUUCUGUUGGCUGCUUUGUAGGCCUUUAUGUAAGAUCUGUUUGCUUUUUUAUCUACAGCCGUACUGAGUUGUUUUAUCAGCCAGUGAGAUUAUGAUGUUUCCUUUCAUGGUGGACAAACCCAUCGACUGGUGAUGAGUCAUCAAUUUUGGGUUAAAUCAGCUGCCAAGUACAAAAAAUAUUCUGAGCCUGUUGACAUAUUCAAGGUUUUCCUAUGCAGCCACAGUAAGGGGGAAAAAAUUAAAGGCUGGGUUAGGAAGGGAAGUGGGGGGGUUCUUCUAGUUUCUCACGGAGUGGUCUUCUGCUAAUAUACUUUCAUAGCGGUUCUAUGGAGGUUGCUCCAAAGGUAAUGCCUCCUAUUUGCUUCCAUGGUAAGUACCACACAUAUAAGGAGCACAGUGCCACCAUUUGAUAGACCAAAUUCUCAACUACAAAACACUGUUUUUAAUAUAGUCACCUGCAUGAGCUAUGCAUUUUUACCAGCAAGAAGAACCUGCAUGCUGCAGCUGUAAAAAUCUGCAGCAGUGGAGGUGACACACUGUUGCUGUCACCAGUGCUGAAAUGCACCAGCCACCACCUCACUGUGUUGACAUACCUUUUGGUAUCCGUAAAUAUUCAUCAAGCAUCAAUGAAUAUCAAUGGGUGCAAUUGUUUACGCUUUUCUUUCAUAUGCGCUUCCAUGUCAGGCGCUGUUUUGACUGACUGCCCUUCUGCUGCCACCUAUUGUAUGACAACAAAAUGUAAUAUAAUAUUGGUGGGAAGGUUCAGCCUCUAAUACCACAUGACCAACAUCCACCUCUGACAUCAUGGACCAACGUAAUAAAAUGGGAGGUGUUACUUUCAGAGCAGCCCUUGUACAAAUAAAUUUUUGUGUCUUCCCAUUUAUAUUUGAAACCUUUUAGUGGAGAGGAAAUAUUCUUAUCCAAGGGUCUAAACUCUUUUCUUUUCUGUUUUGGUUAUUAAUAUUGUUCUUGUCUCAAUACUUAACCUGAAAUUGUUUAAUUAAAAAUAAGUAAAUAAGGAAAAUAAAGAAAGUUGCUUAUAGUGGUGGUAGAAAGGUUUACUUCGUAACUAGUAGCUGCUAACUUACUGAAAGAAAUAAUUGGAGAAAUAUAUCUUUUCACGUUAGCUGAGUGCGAUGUACUUUUGAAACUAACUACGUAACAGUCAGAAGUUUGAUGUAGUUAAAUAUAAAAACUUGUAUGUGUGAAAACCAGAGUACUCUGCUAAAUCAUUAGUGAUACACAGGAAGAAUGAAAUACUUCUAUUAGUGACAUCUCUGCUAUUCACCUAAGCAACCCACGGUACAUAGCAAAGACUACAUCUCUUUUGAACAAAUGUGGACUUCAAAACCCUAGACCUCUGAGUGUUUGUGUUCUUGUUUUUUUACUGCUUGCUAUGGCUACUGAAACUGCUCUUGACACGGAAAGUAGAGGACAAAGAGCUUUGUAGUACAUUAGGAACAGCAGGUUUAAGCAAAGGUGUAUUUCCAUCAGCAGAUGAAAGAGGGGUGCUGGAGUUAAGUGUUCUCAUUUUCAAAGUAGGAGCAAUAGCUAGAUGUGUUUGUGGUUCAUGGAGAUUAAAUAAAGCUGUUUUCAGUGCACAAGCACUGGGCAGGUUUUAAAUUGUGAACUUUUGCUGGGAUAGGUUUGUCAGCAAGGCUAAUUCCAUUAUUAGAAUUAUUUUACUUAGGAAGAAGUAUGGCAUAAAUCUUAAUAACCAAAGUGGUUGUUUACAGUAUAAGCUACAACUGUACUAGGAGCAUUUUUCAUGCACAGUGUAUUUGGGAUAGUUAUACUGAAAAGGAUUCCUUGUAAAAGGGUGUCUAAAAAUGAAGUAUGAGGGAUGAGAAAUCAUUCUAUGUAUAUUAUUCGAUCAGCAGUUCCAGAUAACCCUGGAGUCUUAUAAGUAAUCAUAAUAAAGAAAAGGCUGCCAGAUCAAAGGUCUGUUAGACCUCAUAAGGUAUUUCUGGACAGUGACAAGUAGAAAAUGCCCUACACUUGUACUUUUCACUAGGCAAGUGUAGAGUGGUACCUUCUUAAAAAUACACUCCUGCCUGCCUCUGUCACUGGAGGAGAUAGAUGGUCCAUUUAGUGUAAUAAAUGUACAUCUCAAAACGUUUCAGAAAGAGCAGUGUCAGGACCAGUUCCCAUUUGGCUAAGCAAGAUGAGUCAGGUACUAGUAAAGCAGCCCAUCGUGUUAAAGUCAGUCCUCAUUAAAAUAAUGGAUAAGAAAACACAAGAUUUCUUUGAUAAGGAAUAAAAGGAUAAGACUAUAACUAACACCAGUAAGUAUGGCUUAGGGACAAAAGAUCUUGACAAGUAUAUCUUCAUCACUUGCGUAGGUAAGAAGCUUGAGAACAAAACUGUGUAGAGUGAACUUUGGUAGAGUGCUUCAUACUACUCACUUAGUCUCACUUAGCGUCAGUGCAGCAUAUUUAAUGGUUUAAAAGCUGAUGGGCUAAUGGAUCUGAAGAAAUAACCAAAGCUGGAUUGUUCAUAGAGGUCAAGGCUUAGUUACGGUAUCUGGCUCAACACCUCCAUCUAAAAAUAUUGUCGUUUUAACAGUGGUGGUGGGCUGGGUGAGUAAUGAGAAGAAGUACAAUAAUGCAGAACAAUCACAUAGGCUGGAUUAGUCUGGAAAUCGAACAAUUUAAAUAAGUUAUGUCUUAACGUGUCCAAAUAUGAAAGUAUUUAUAUGAUGACUGCUCCAAAAGUAACACCUUCUACUUUAUUAUAUUGGCCCAUGACAUCCAAGGUGAAUGUUGGUGGUGUGACAGUAGAGGCUGAACCUUCCCACCAAUAUCCCGUUACAUUUUGUUGCCACGUGACAGGUGGCAGCAGAGGGGCCAUCUGACAAAUCAAAGUGCAUGUGAAGUAAUGGUGUGGAGUUGAAUUCCUCCAUGCAGAAAAAAUGGCUCCUACUGACAUUCAUCAAUGCUUGCUGAAUGUUUGUGGAGACCAACCAGUGGAUGUGAGCACAGUGAGGCAGUGGGUGGUGCAUUUCAGCAGCGGUGACAUUGAUGUGAAAGAUAAGCCACAUUCUGGACAGCCAUGCAGAGCUGUUGCCCCACAGAAUGAAGAGUGUGUCAAUCAGCUCAUCCACACAAAUCAGCUAAUGGUGAUUACUAUGUUGAAAAAUACAUGAAGAUGUAGCCAAAACUGGUAGCUGGAUGUUCAAACA
ensembl:lncRNA